GCCAGGCAUUGUGGUGGGUGCCUGUGGUCCCAGCUACUUGGGAGGCAGAGGCAGGAGACUCGCCUGAGCCCAGGAGUUGGAGGUUGCUGUGAGGUGUGAUGCCAUGGCACUCUACCCAGGGUGACAGCUUGAGGCUCUAUCUCAAAAGAAAAAAAAAAGACACAGUCUCACUUUGUUGCCCUCAGUAGAGUGCUAUGGUGUCAUAGCUCACAGCAAUCUCAAACUCCUGGGCUUGAUCAAGCAAUCCUGUUG
rnacentral:sRNA from 1 species